AAUUGCCGCGUGUUGUGGAAGGAAAGGCCUUCGGGUUGUAAAGCACUUUUGUCCGGAAAGAAAUCCUUCGGCUCUAAUACCAGUCCGGGGGGAUUGACCGGGUACCGGAAGAAAUAAGCACCGGGCUAAACUACGUGCCAGCAGCCGCGGGUAAUACGUAGGGGUGCGAGCGUUAAUCGGAAUUACUGGGCGUAAAGCGUGCGCAGGCGGUUUGCUAAGACCGAUGUGAAAUCCCCGGGCUCAACCUGGGAACUGCAUUGGUGACUGGCAGGCUAGAGUAUGGCAGAGGGGGGGUAGAAUUCCACGUGUAGCAGUGAAAUGCGUAGAGAUGUGGAGGAAUACCGAUGGCGAAGGCAGCCCCCUGGGCCAAUACUGACGCUCAUGCACGAAAGCGUGGGGAGCAAACAGGAUUAGAUACCCUGGUAGUCCACGCCCUAAACGAUGUCAACUAGUUGUUGGGGGAUUCAUUUCCUUAGUAACGUAGCUAACGCGUGAAGUUGACCGCCUGGGGAGUACGGUCGCAAGAUUAAAACUCAAAGGAAUUGACGGGGACCCGCACAAGCGGUGGAUGAUGUGGAUUAAUUCGAUGCAACGCGAAAAAACCUUACCCUACCCUUUGACAUGGUCGGAAUUCCCGCUGAGAGGUGGGAGUUGCUUCGAAAAGAGAACCGGCGCCACAGGUGCUGCCAUGGCUGUCGUCAGCUCGUGUCGUGGAGAUGUUGGGUUAAGUCCCGCAACGAGCGUCAACCCAUUGUUCCUU
rnacentral:rRNA from 1 species